AAGCCAGACUCCUACGGGAGGCAGCAGUGGGGAAUAUUGCACAAUGGGGGAAACCCUGAUGCAGCGACGCCGCGUGAGUGAAGAAGUAUUUCGGUAUGUAAAGCUCUAUCAGCAGGGAAGAUAAUGACGGUACCUGACUAAGAAGCCCCGGCUAACUACGUGCCAGCAGCCGCGGUAAUACGUAGGGGGCAAGCGUUAUCCGGAUUUACUGGGUGUAAAGGGUGCGUAGGUGGCAUGGCAAGUCAGAAGUGAAAGCCCGGGGCUCAACCCCGCGGACUGCUUUUGAAACUGUCAGGCUGGAGUACAGGAGAGGUAAGCGGAAUUCCUAGUGUAGCGGUGAAAUGCGUAGAUAUUAGGAGGAACACCAGUGGCGAAGGCGGCUUACUGGACUGUAACUGACACUGAGGCACGAAAGCGUGGGGAGCAAACAGGAUUAGAUACCCCCGUAACU
rnacentral:rRNA from 1 species